rnacentral:lncRNA from 1 species
CCAAACGAAGGCAGCUGGCCCUGAAGUUCUCUGAGCUUGAGGACAAAAAAAGACCUCUGUGAGUUGUCAGGCUCUGUUACAGUCUGGGUCAGCAGACAAGAGUCCCAGGGCUCGGCCGUCUUCUCUAGGAGAGAAAAUAUUCGUGCCAUAUAGCGUGUUCUAAGAGUUCUCACCAGAAGCCCAGAAAGUUCUGUAUUUACUCAGCAUUCAAGGGAAAACAGACCCUGUAUUUUUGGGAUUCCUGAAAGGUGACCAGGUGAGAGCAAAGCCCAACUUCCUGGGGAAAAGCUCUCAGCGCAGUGAAUGCUACAUUCGGAGGUAGGAAGGCUCUGGAUGUGAGUCUUCAUGUUUGUUUUUUGUUUUUUGUUUUUUUUUCUCUAAAAUUACCAAAAAAGAGGAAUAUCCACAGAAGCAGAAGUAGGAAUGGGGAAGGAGGGGACAAGUUUAGACCAAGCUCUUCUGUGACCUCACUUCUGCUUUUGAAGUCCCACAGCUCUAUAAGUGUUCUGAGAUCUUGUUACUGGUGGCGAAUCCAUACAGGUCUGCAGCAACCUCAAUUCUUGCCUCUUCAGAACACAGAAUUCAACCAAGGGACCUAAGGCAGAAGGAGAGACCAAGAUUCACUCAGAACCUGGUCCAUAAGGAGACGUAUGCACUUUUGCAUACACAGAAUACACUCAGGAAUACUUCUGUGUUUUCGUACCUCGGUGUAAGAUGCUGAGCCCACGGCUGGGGAUCUCGUGUGACGAAUGUCUGCAAAUGUUUGAGUAAGGAGAUGACUUGGGGAGGAAAAGGGCUGGGCUAUUUGGUGGAAAUCUGAAUUUAGAUGAAGAGGCUUGACCAUAAUUGGGAAGUUCUUUUGCUAGCAGUUGGGCAACUCACCAAUAUGAAGAAAGCUCUUGAGUGGGACGAUGGGAAGGCCCGAGCAUAGCUUCUUUUGGGGAAGUUAUCCGGGUAGCCAGGCCUGGGACGCUCCCCGCGCUCCGCCCUCACUUCUCUCUUCCCCCAAAAACAGGCAUUGAGAGGCUCUUACUGCCCUCACGUGGCCCCUUCUGGAACUGUCUUUGAGGAGACCCGCCCAGAUUUAAACUGAAUCACGGGGGCUGGAGAGCACACACGCAGGCUUGCCAGUUAAGCUCAUCUGUCCCCACUUAAGCUUCUAGCUACCAGGAAGCCGCUCUUCGAGCCUGUUUUCAAGCCUUUUUGGCCCUUCCGUCUCUUAAGUCCAUGUUGUCUGAGCAAAGACCCUUUCUCCGUUGUAAGGAAUUCUAAAUCCUUUCGGCUGCAGCUUUCAGCAGCGCCUGGCAUCCUGGCGGAUGAGAAAAAGGGGAAAAACAGCAGCCCAACUUGAGAACCAGAGCUGGGCCGUGACGCUGCUGCGGGGGACUCUGGGUCCCGUCUUCCCCGCUUUCGAGACCUGUGGUCUUCAAAUGUGCUCGAUAGUACACUCCCUAAAAGAAUUUUUGCAAAGUCCUGUUUUUCCCUGUUAAAUCAAGUUUAGCUUAAAGCUACUCACAUAUUUUAAGUUCAGCCUAAAGGUUUCUCUGUGCCUGUAACCUAAAGGGAAGUGUAAAUAGUCCCUCUCCCCCUUCACCCUCUCCUCUCCCGCUUUCUGUUUCUGCCUUAUCUCUCUGACUCUUCUGCCUCCCUCCUCUGUUUUUAAGGGCCUGCCUGGAUAACCCAGGAUAAUUUGCCUGUUUUAACGUCAGCUACUUAGUCAUCUAAAUUCCAUCUGCAAAGUCCCUUCAGAGCAGUACAAAAUUAGAAUCUUGAAAUCUUUAGAAUUCGGCCAGCCACAACAACGAUCAGCAUUUUGCCAACCUUAGGUAUCCAGGAGUUUUUGUUUUUAAUUACAGUGAUUUUUAAAAAACAGCUUAUUUAUUUAUUUGACAGGGUCUUGCUCUGUGGCCCAGGCUGGAGUGCAGCGGCAUGAUCAUAGCUCACUGUAACCUCAAACUCCCGGGCUCAAGCAAUCCUCCUGCCUCAGCCUCCUGAGUAGCUAGGACUACAGGCACUUGCCACUACACCCGGCUAAUUUUUAAAAGAUUUUGUAGAGAUGGGGGUCUCACUAUAUUGCCCAGGCUGGUCUCAAAUUACUGGCCUCAAGUUGUCCUCCUGCCUCAGCCUCCUAAAGUGCUGAGAUUACAGAUGUGAGCCACUGUGCCCACCCAAAACAGCUUUAUUGAGA